rnacentral:rRNA from 1 species
CCUUUGACGUUAGCGGCGGACGUGUGAGUAACACGUGGGUAACCUACCUAUAAGACUGGGAUAACUUCGGGAAACCGGAGCUAAUACCGGAUAAUAUUUCGAACCGCAUGGUUCGAUAGUGAAAGGUGGUUUUGCUAUCACUUAUAGAUGGACCCGCGCCGUAUUAGCUAGUUGGUAAGGUAACGGCUUACCAAGGCUACGAUACGUAGCCGACCUGAGAGGGUGAUCGGCCACACUGGAACUGAGACACGGUCCAGACUCCUACGGGAGGCAGCAGGU